rnacentral:rRNA from 1 species
AGAGUUUGAUUCUGGCUCAGAACGAACGCUGGCGGCAGGCUUAACACAUGCAAGUCGAACGAUAUAGUGGUACACGGGUGAGUAACGCGUGGAAACGUGCCUUUCACUACGGAAUAGCUUUUGGAAACGAAAGGUAAUACCGUAUACGCCCUCCGGGGGAAAGAUUUAUCGGUGAAAGAUCGGUCCGCGUUAGAUUAGCUAGUUGGUGAGGUAAGAGCUCACCAAGGCGACGAUCUAUAGCUGGUCUGAGAGGAUGAUCAGCCACACUGGGACUGAGGCACGGCCCAGACUCCUACGGGAGGCAGCAGUGGGGAAUAUUGCACAAUGGGCGCAAGCCUGAUGCAGCCAUGCCGCGUGAAUGAUGAAGGCCUUAGGGUUGUAAAAUUCUUUCGCCAAGGAUGAUAAUGACAGUACUUGGUAAAGAGGCCCCGGCUAACUUCGUGCCAGCAGCCGCGGUAAUACGAAGGGGGCUAGCGUUGUUCGGAAUUACUGGGCGUAAAGCGCACGUAGGCGGACUUUUAAGUCAGAUGUGAAAUCCCAAGGCUCAACCUUGGAACUGCAUUUGAAACUGGGAGUCUAGAGAUCAGGAGAGGUUAGUGGAAUACCGAGUGUAGAGGUGAAAUUCGUAGAUAUUCGGUGGAACACCAGUGGCGAAGGCGACUAACUGGACUGAUACUGACGCUGAGGUGCGAAAGUGUGGGGAGCAAACAGGAUUAGAUACCCUGGUAGUCCACACCGUAAACGAUGAGAGCUAGUUGUCUGCAGGCAUGCCUGUAGGUGACGCAGCUAACGCAUUAAGCUCUCCGCCUGGGGAGUACGGCCGCAAGGUUAAAACUCAAAGAAAUUGACGGGGGCCCGCACAAGCGGUGGAGCAUGUGGUUUAAUUCGAAGCAACGCGCAGAACCUUACCUACGCUUGACAUGCCUGGACGACUCCGAGAGAUCGGUUUCUCCCUUCGGGGCCAGUGCACAGGUGCUGCAUGGCUGUCGUCAGCUCGUGUCGUGAGAUGUUGGGUUAAGUCCCGCAACGAGCGCAACCCUCAUCCUUAGUUGCCAUCACGUUUGGGUGGGCACUCUAGGGAAACUGCCGGUGCUAAGCCGGAGGAAGGCGGGGAUGACGUCAAGUCCUCAUGGCCCUUACGCGUAGGGCUACACACGUGCUACGAUGGCAGUGACAAUGGGUUAAUCCCCAAAAGCUGUCUCAGUUCGGAUUGUCGGCUGCAACUCGCCGGCAUGAAGUUGGAAUCGCUAGUAAUCGUGGAUCAGCAUGCCACGGUGAAUACGUUCCCGGGCCUUGUACACACCGCCCGUCACACCAUGGGAGUUGGAUCUACCCGAAGAUUGUGAGCUAACUUCGGAGGCAGCAAGCCACGGUAGGUUCAGCGACUGGGGUGAAGUCGUAACAAGGUA